UACGUAGGGGGCGAGCGUUAUCCGGAAUACUGGGCGUAAAGCGCACGCAGGCGGUUCGCCAAGUUUGGAGUGACAGUUGUCGGCUCAACCGACAAAGGACUUCAAAAACUGGUGAACUUGAGGACGAGAGAGGAACAUGGAACUCCAGGUGUAGUAGUGAAAUGCGUAGAUAUCUGGAAGAACACCAAUGGCGAAGGCAAUGUUCUGGCUCGUUUCUGACGCUCAGGUGCGAAAGCCAGGGGAGCGAACGGG
rnacentral:rRNA from 1 species